rnacentral:misc_RNA from 1 species
CUUGCCCUCGGCAUCGAACUGCUGGCUCGCGGUCCUUUCAGUCCCAGCCCGCAUGCGCUCCACAGGCCAUGUGCGGCCUCUGAGUUCCUGUGCUGCGUACCCACAGAAGUGGAAAUCGGAUGCCGUAGCUCGUAGAACUUCUCCCUCCUCCCCUCUCGGGGCGCAGGGAGAACAUUUCAGCGGCGCCCCCGGCCCGCGACCGUCCCGCUCGACGGAUGCGUCCCGGGCCAGGGAAUGCUGCUCGUGCUUUCGGGGAUGCGGAACACGUCGUGGGCAGAGGGCACCCGGUGCCCUCCGUUUUGCCCGGCGAACCUCUUUGGAAACGACGCGUUCGCCCGCGGCGAAUCCCCACGCGCUCUGCUCGGCAGGCGGUGAGGCUUCGUGCGGGCGUCGGUGUCGCGGAAGGAUGC